GAGUUUGAUCNUGGCUCAGGACGAACGCUGGCGGCGUGCCUAAUACAUGCAAGUCGAGCGGACAGAUGGGAGCUUGCUCCCUGAUGUUAGCGGCGGACGGGUGAGUAACACGUGGGUAACCUGCCUGUAAGACUGGGAUAACUCCGGGAAACCGGGGCUAAUACCGGAUGGUUGUNUGAACCGCAUGGUUCAGACAUAAAAGGUGGCUUCGGCUACCACUUACAGAUGGACCCGCGGCGCAUUAGCUAGUUGGUGAGGUAACGGCUCACCAAGGCNACGAUGCGUAGCCGACCUGAGAGGGUGAUCGGCCACACUGGGACUGAGACACGGCCCAGACUCCUACGGGAGGCAGCAGUAGGGAAUCUUCCGCAAUGGACGAAAGUCUGACGGAGCAACGCCGCGUGAGUGAUGAAGGUUUUCGGAUCGUAAAGCUCUGUUGUUAGGGAAGAACAAGUGCCGUUCAAAUAGGGCGGCACCUUGACGGUACCUAACCAGAAAGCCACGGCUAACUACGUGCCAGCAGCCGCGGUAAUACGUAGGUGGCAAGCGUUGUCCGGAAUUAUUGGGCGUAAAGGGCUCGCAGGCGGUUUCUUAAGUCUGAUGUGAAAGCCCCCGGCUCAACCGGGGAGGGUCAUUGGAAACUGGGGAACUUGAGUGCAGAAGAGGAGAGUGGAAUUCCACGUGUAGCGGUGAAAUGCGUAGAGAUGUGGAGGAACACCAGUGGCGAAGGCGACUCUCUGGUCUGUAACUGACGCUGAGGAGCGAAAGCGUGGGGAGCGAACAGGAUUAGAUACCCUGGUAGUCCACGCCGUAAACGAUGAGUGCUAAGUGUUAGGGGGUUUCCGCCCCUUAGUGCUGCAGCUAACGCAUUAAGCACUCCGCCUGGGGAGUACGGUCGCAAGACUGAAACUCAAAGGAAUUGACGGGGGCCCGCACAAGCGGUGGAGCAUGUGGUUUAAUUCGAAGCAACGCGAAGAACCUUACCAGGUCUUGACAUCCUCUGACAAUCCUAGAGAUAGGACGUCCCCUUCGGGGGCAGAGUGACAGGUGGUGCAUGGUUGUCGUCAGCUCGUGUCGUGAGAUGUUGGGUUAAGUCCCGCAACGAGCGCAACCCUUGAUCUUAGUUGCCAGCAUUCAGUUGGGCACUCUAAGGUGACUGCCGGUGACAAACCGGAGGAAGGUGGGGAUGACGUCAAAUCAUCAUGCCCCUUAUGACCUGGGCUACACACGUGCUACAAUGGACAGAACAAAGGGCAGCGAAACCGCGAGGUUAAGCCAAUCCCACAAAUCUGUUCUCAGUUCGGAUCGCAGUCUGCAACUCGACUGCGUGAAGCUGGAAUCGCUAGUAAUCGCGGAUCAGCAUGCCGCGGUGAAUACGUUCCCCGG
rnacentral:rRNA from 1 species